UUAGUACUCCCUCCGUCCCAAAAUUCUUGUCUUACAUUUAUCUACAUACAGAUGUAUCUAAUACUAAAACUGUAUUAGAUACAUCCGUAUCUAGACAAAUUUAAGACAAGAAUUUUAGGACGGAGGGAGUACUAU
rfam:Triticum aestivum genome assembly, contig: Triticum_aestivum_CS42_TGACv1_scaffold_030752_1BL